GCAAGACAGAAAGAGAGAAAAGAUCUAAAGAACACACAGAUUCAAGGGAGCAGGAACUACUUAAGGAGGAAGCUCAACAACACGUAACUAUAUGUAGAAACAUUGGCAUUUGCCUUGGAACGAUGGUGAAAAAACUCAAGGCAUCAUUCUUGCCCCUUUUAGACAAGUUUUUGCCUUAUGUAUCACUUAUGUGGAGUAAUGAUAGAACAGCAGAAGAAAGAAGAAUUGUAGUGCACCUUUUCUGUGAUGUUGCUGAGCAGUGUCGCGAAGAAGCAUUCAGG